UUAUGACUUCUGCUGAAGUGUUUUCUUUAUUUCUUUUUUUUACUUUUUUAAAUAUUUAAUUUAUUUAUUUGACAGAGAGAGAGUGCACACAAGCAGACAGAACAGCAGGCAGAGGGAGACGGAGAAGCAGGCUCUUCUCUGAGCCUAAUGUGGAGCUGGAUCUCAGGACCCUGAGAUCAUGACCUGAGCUGAAGGCAGACACGUAACUGAAUGAGCCAUCCAGACACCCCUGUUGGUGCUUUUCUUGUAAAAGUUGUAGAAUGCAGAAUUCCACUUUUUUUUUCAACUUUGAACCUGAUCAAAGACUUUUUUCAACUUUUCAACGUUGAAACUGAUCGAAGACAAGUAAUUAAGGGCUGGAAGGGAUUGCUGGCUAUUCCUGACAAGUGGUGACCCCGCUGUGAUCAUCUUGCCACAGACCACUGAAUGGACCACCUGAAAAUGAAAAGUUUGGGCACAGUAAGUUGGCAUCUGCUCAUGGCCAAUUCUGGGGAAGUUUCAGGCUUGGGUAUUUUUACAGAAUUAAAAGGUCUC
rnacentral:lncRNA from 1 species